CCAAUAGCGUAUAUUAAAGUUGUUGCAGUUAAAAAGGUCGUAGUUGAAUUUCGGGGUUAGUAGGUUGGUCAUGCCUCUGGUAUGUACUGGUCUCACUGAUUCCUCCUUCCUGAUGAGCCGUAAUGCCAUUAAUUUGGUGUUGCGAGGAAUUUGGACUGUUACUUUGAAAAAAUUAGAGUGUUUAAAGCAAGCUAACGCUUGAAUACAUUAGCAUGGAAUAAUGAAAUAGGACGUUCGAUCCUAUUUUGUUGGUUUCUAGGAUUGACGUAAUGAUUAAUAGGGAUAGUUGGGGGCAUUAGUAUUCAAUUGUCAGAGGUGAAAUUCUUGGAUUUAUCGAAGACUAACUACUGCGAAAGCAUUUGCCAAGGAUGUUUUCAUUAAUCAAGAACGAAAGUUAGGGGAUCGAAGACGAUCAGAUACCGUCGUAGUCUUAACCAUAAACUAUGCCGACUAGGGAUCGGAUGAUGUUAAUUUUUUAAUGACUCAUUCGGCGCCUUACG
rnacentral:rRNA from 1 species